rnacentral:rRNA from 1 species
CCCCUAGUAACGGCGAGUGAAGCGGGAAGAGCUCAAAUUUGUAAUCUGGCGGUCUCAGGCCGUCCGAGUUGUAGUCUGGAGAAGCGUUUUCCGUGCCGGACCGUGUACAAGUCCCUUGGAACAGGGCGUCGUAGAGGGUGAGAAUCCCGUCUCUGACACGGACCGCCGGUGCUCUGUGAUGCGCUCUCGAAGAGUCGAGUUGUUUGGGAAUGCAGCUCAAAAUGGGUGGUAAAUUCCAUCUAAAGCUAAAUAUGGGCGAAAGACCGAUAGCGAACAAGUACCGUGAGGGAAAGAUGAAAAGCACUUUGGAAAGAGAGUUAAACAGUACGUGAAAUUGUUGAAAGGGAACCGUUUGAAGUCAGUCGCGUCCGUCGAGGUUCAGCCGUGGGGGUCUUCNNNNNNNNNNNNNNNNNNNNNNGGACGGGCCAGCAUCGAUUUCGACCGUUCGAGAAGGGCUCGGGGAACGUGGCACCUCCGGGUGUGUUAUAGCCCCGUGUCGUAUGGGACGGUCGGGAUCGAGGACCGCAGCGUGCCCCUCAGUCGGGGUCGGGGUU